rnacentral:sRNA from 1 species
CAGACGCAGAAGACGCAGGCAAACCUGAGGUCCUCGGAAUGGCGGGCACAGGUUUGGUGGCUGGAGAGGUUGUGGUGGAUGCGCUGCCGUAUUUUGAUCAAGGUUAUGAAGCCCCUGGUGUGCGGGAAGCGGCUGCAGCGCUGGUGGAGGAGGAAACUCGCAGAUACCGACCUACUAAGAACUACCUGAGCUACCUGACAGCCCCGGAUUAUUCUGCCUUUGAAAUAUGAGCUUCCAGCCCCCUCCUCUGGUCAAAAAAAUGACAUUACUGCGUGGCAAGAAUGUGUAAACAAUUCUAUGGCCCAGUUAGAGCAUCAAGCAGUUAGAAUUGAGAAUCUGGAACUAAUGUCACAGCAUGGAUGUAAUGCCUGGAAAGUGUACAAUGAAAAUCUAGUUCAUAUGAUUGAACACGCACAGAAAGAACUUCAGAAGUUAAGAAAACAUAUUCAAGAUUUAAACUGGCAGAGAAAGAACAUGCAACUCACAGCUGGAUCUAAAUUGAGAGAAAUGGAGUCAAAUUGGGUAUCCCUGGUCAGUAAGAAUUAUGAGAUUGAACGGACCAUUGUUCAGCUAGAAAAUGAAAUCUAUCAAAUUAAGCAGCAACAUGGAGAGGCAAACAAAGAAAACAUCCGGCAAGACUUCUGAAAAGACAAUUUAGCAGGUAGAAGAAAAGUUGGGCUUUCACAAAAGGCAUCUGAACUUUUAAUGAACUGUGAAGGACAACAGCAUCUUCCCAAAACCAUUGAUGUUUAAGUGUUUAGAAAUCAUAGAAUGUGUAGGCUGCUGUGGUAAUUCUAUUUGUUUAUCUCAACAGAAUUAAAAUGUCUAGCUUGGUGGUAUUUUUAUAGCCAUAAAAGAAAAUCUUUAGGCUUUCAAAAUAAGUAUGACUUU